UUUUUCCUAGUGUGAGUUGCUUAUGACCCUGAGCCGAUGCAAAAAACUUUGGUGUCGUUUCCUCAUAGGUGUGCAGGCUCAACUUGUAUUGAGAAGCCUAAUAUGUUGUAACUCGAUUACCGUCUUGAACCAACGGGUUCAAGGAUCACACAAGCAUUCAUGCUAGGAUCCCC
rnacentral:other from 1 species